AAUUCCUCUUCAGCGUUGGCCUCGUAGCCGCCAAUGGCGGAGACGAUGGGCGAGAGGGAGAGGUGGUGCUGCCGGUGGGGUGGCCGCAGAGUGGGCAGAGGUUGGGAGGGGGCCCGCCGGCGUCGGCCAUGGCGUGCAUCCGGGGAGCCGGGAGGAGGCGGGCGGGCGCACGCGCGCGCGCGCGGGGAGACGGAAAUUUGGCAGGAGGGGGAGAGGAAAAGCGGGAGGGGUGCCUUUCCGGUUCCCGUCGGUCGUUGGCCGGUGUC
rnacentral:lncRNA from 1 species